UUUUCAAUCUACCGACCAGAGCAUUUGAUUACAUCCACCGCCCUGCCCAUGUCUGCACAGCAGGUCAUUUCAUCCCAUAAGGCAAUCGGGUUGAUCAAGCGUGAGCUGCCCUUUGUAUGUCCACCUUGGUUAUUGCUGAUUGCCUUUUUGUUCCCUGCACGUUUGGAAGCGAGUUCCAGCAGGAUGUGGUACAGGUGUCUUGGAGUCACGUCAGCCAGCUCUUCCAGCACUUUCAGAAAUGUGUAACUUUCCCUUCUGGCAUGGAGUUGGAAAGGCUGGCUGAGUGAUGGCAGUCUGUCUGCACUGGCGGUGACCCAGGCCCUGGACACACAUCAGACCUACCUGGAUAACAGGGAUAGAUUCCUCUGUCUCACGUGGAGGAGCAUCACCAGCCACUAACACGGGUAUUUCCCUUAGUGCUGGUACUAAUCCAAAGACUUGAGAUACCCGCUUAGUAUUUUCUCCCAAAACACCCACUACUUUUCCUGAAACAGGAGGAAAGAGAGCUUUAUUCCUGUUACCUGAAGUCACAGGCUUCCAGCUUCCACCCUCUGCAAGUCCGUAUCUUCUUCCUUCCCUCACGCCUUCCUUCUUGCCCUGCUGGGGCCUCGGAGAAACUUCUUCAAAGCUCCUGCAGGUCUCCAGAGGUCACCCCUGAUGUGGCAGAGCCUGCCUGCCUCUCCUGGCACCUUCUCACCACGCACAGCAGUGACUCGAUCAAUCGGAGUACACCUCCCCGGCCCAGGCCAUGGCUCCCUGCCCUAGGGAGGAGCACCGAGUGCCUGAGCAGGCCCCGGGUGGCACCGUGUCCCCUCAGCGCUUCCAUGGAGGGACCUGAAGCACCAGAAGGGGCCACACUGCUGACUUGUGUUGUCUUUUCACCAUUUGGGGAGACUUCUUUGUGCUCCCCGCAAUCCAACAGCCUUAUAAACCGCUCUGCUUCUGUCUUCGUGUCCUGAUGGCCCGGCGACUUGCUGCUGGUGCUCCCUGGGGUGCUAGAGGAGGAGGAAGCUGAUGCAGGUUAACUCUGCCCCUCCUGGGACCUGUACCUGGCAGCGAGCCUCGUAUCCUGCCAGUUACUUCGUUCCCUGCCUUGUUUGCUUGCCGUGGGAUCACCGGCACCGCCACGCGUCGCUUCCCCUUGCGCUGCUGUUCGGCACAAGGGUUGGAAACUGGAGCUGAGCUAGUUCUGCUGCUUUGCCAGUGGGACUAGCAGCCCUAGUUAGGGGUAGGCAAAUUAAGGUGAUUUACGCAGGAUUUGUUUUUAUGUGCUUUCCACAACAACCGUUCAAUAAAGUAAAUAUAUGUUGUUGUUUUCCUUCUGUAAAGUAUUUUUAGUAAAUCCUCGGUGCCGGUUUUAUUGAAUGACUAAUGCAUUUUGGUACAUCUGAAUUACAUCUAUACUGAGUCAUUUUGUUUUGUAAUGACAUAUUUAAAUGUUUAAAUCUCUACAGAAAUUA